AACGAACGCUGGCGGCGUGCUUAACACAUGCAAGUCGAACGCGAAAGUCCCUUCGGGGGCAAGUAGAGUGGCGCACGGGUGAGUAACGCGUAGGAACGUACCUAAGGGUGGGGAAUAACCACGGGAAACCGUGGCUAAUACCGCAUAAUAUCGCAAGAUCAAAGGAGGCCUCUACUUGUAAGCUUCCGCCGUUAGAGCGGCCUACGUCCUAUUAGCUAGUUGGUAGGGUAAAAGCCUACCAAGGCGAUGAUGGGUAACUGGUCUGAGAGGAUGAUCAGUCACACUGGAACUGAGACACGGUCCAGACUCCUACAGGAGGCAGCAGUGGGGAAUCUUGCACAAUGGGCGAAAGCCUGAUGCAGCAACGCCGCGUGGGUGAAGAAGGUUUUCGGAUUGUAAAGCCCUUUCGGCUGGGAAGAAGGGCGAAGUGGUUAGUACCCACCUCGUCUGACGGUACAGAAUAAGAAGCACCGGCUAAUUCCGUGCCAGCAGCCGCGGUAAUACGGAAGGUGCAAGCGUUG
rnacentral:rRNA from 1 species